rnacentral:rRNA from 1 species
UACGUAGGCAGCGAGCGUUGUUCGGAGUUACUGGGCGUAAAGGGUGUGUAGGCGGUUGUUUUAAGUUUGGUGUGAAAUCUCCCGGCUCAACUGGGAGGGUGCGCCGAAUACUGAAUGACUUGGAGUGCGGGAGAGGAGAGUGGAAUUCCUGGUGUAGCGGUGAAAUGCGUAGAUAUCAGGAGGACACCGGUGGUGUAGACGGCUCUCUGGACCGUAACUGACGCUGAGACACGAAAGCGUGGGUAGCAAACAGG